UCAGGGUAAACCUGAGAAACCCGAAAGGUCGAAAGGGGAAAUUUCAUUCGCGUUUCGAUUGUCUAAGUUAAAUGUUUGUUUGACGGAUGAUGUGUUUCGGCGCAUGAGUCCGCAUCUUAUGUUUUUCUAAUAGAUGUCGAACGCGUGCACUUUUCCUCUAGUAGGACGUCGUGAUCCGUUGGGUGUCUGUCUAAGGCUCGAGGUGGAGCCCACGUGAUUUUUUAAUUAUGUGGACCCUUGAUGUUCCGACAGACUCGCUCGACGGUAUAAAUAUGGCGCGGGGCCGCUACUCAGUUAGCGUUCGGCCCGUAGCAAGCACGUUUCGUGUUUGACGGCGAUCGGACCUAGUGCCGAUUCUGUCCCGGAACGACUGUUGGUUACGGUGUUCUCGAACAGACCUCGUUUUGAAACGCCGAUCAACGACGCUAUAGAU
rnacentral:rRNA from 1 species